UACGUAGGGUGCGAGCGUUAAUCGGAAUUACUGGGCGUAAAGCGUGCGCAGGCGGCUCUGCAAGACAGAUGUGAAAUCCCCGGGCUCAACCUGGGAACUGCAUUUGUGACUGCAAGGCUAGAGUACGGUAGAGGGGGAUGGAAUUCCGCGUGUAGCAGUGAAAUGCGUAGAUAUGCGGAGGAACACCGAUGGCGAAGGCAAUCCCCUGGGCCUGCACUGACGCUCAUGCACGAAAGCGUGGGGAGCAAACAGG
rnacentral:rRNA from 1 species